AUUGAACGCUGGCGGCAUGCCUUACACAUGCAAGUCGAACGGCAGCGCGGGGCAACCUGGCGGCGAGUGGCGAACGGGUGAGUAAUAUAUCGGAACAUACCCUAGAGUGGGGAUAACGUAGCGAAAGUUACGCUAAUACCGCAUACGCACUAAGGUGGAAAGUGGGGGAUUCGCAAGAACCUCAUGCUCAUGGAGUGGCCGAUAUCUGAUUAGCUAGUUGGUGAGGUAAAGGCUCACCAAGGCAACGAUCAGUAGCUGGUUUGAGAGAACGACCAGCCACACUGGAACUGAGACACGGUCCAGACUCCUACGGGAGGCAGCAGUGGGGAAUUUUGGACAAUGGGGGCGAACCCUGAUCCAGCAAUGCCGCGUGAGUGAAGAAGGCCUCGGUGUAAGACUCUUUGUCUAGGGAAGAAACGGUAGA
rnacentral:rRNA from 1 species